rnacentral:snRNA from 1 species
AGCUUUGCACAGUGGCAGUAUCAUUGCCAGUGAGGUUUAUCCGAGGCUCGAUUAUUGCUAAUUGAAAACAGAAAAGAGCUGGCAGGGUGAGUGUUAUUUUUUUUGAAAUCUUCUCUAAAAG